AGCGAACGCUGGCGGCAGGCCUAACACAUGCAAGUCGAACGAACCUUUCGGGGUUAGUGGCGGACGGGUGAGUAACACGUGGGAACGUGCCUUUAGGUUCGGAAUAACUCAGGGAAACUUGUGCUAAUACCGAAUGUGCCCUUCGGGGGAAAGAUUUAUCGCCUUUAGAGCGGCCCGCGUCUGAUUAGCUAGUUGGUUGAGGUAAUGGCUCACCAAGGCGACGAUCAGUAGCUGGUCUGAGAGGAUGAUCAGCCACAUUGGGACUGAGACACGGCCCAAACUCCUACGGGAAGCAGCAGUGGGGAAUCUUGCGCAAUGGGCGAAAGCCUAACGCAGCCAUGCCGCGUGAAUGAUGAAGGUCUUAGGAUUGUAAAAUUCUUUCACCGGGGACGAUAAUGACGGUACCCGGAGAAGAAGCCCCGGCUAACUUCGUG
rnacentral:rRNA from 1 species